GUAGGUGGGGUAACGGCUCACCUAGGCGACGAUCCCUAGCUGGUCUGAGAGGAUGACCAGCCACACUGGAACUGAGACACGGUCCAGACUCCUACGGGAGGCAGCAGUGGGGAAUAUUGCACAAUGGGCGCAAGCCUGAUGCAGCCAUGCCGCGUGUGUGAAGAAGGCCUUCGGGUUGUAAAGCACUUUCAGCGGGGAGGAAGGCGGUGAGGUUAAUAACCUCAUCGAUUGACGUUACCCGCAGAAGAAGCACCGGCUAACUCCGUGCCAGCAGCCGCGGUAAUACGGAGGGUGCAAGCGUUAAUCGGAAUUACUGGGCGUAAAGCGCACGCAGGCGGUCUGUCAAGUCGGAUGUGAAAUCCCCGGGCUCAACCUGGGAACUGCAUUCGAAACUGGCAGGCUAGAGUCUUGUAGAGGGGGGUAGAAUUCCAGGUGUAGCGGUGAAAUGCGUAGAGAUCUGGAGGAAUACCGGUGGCGAAGGCGGCCCCCUGGACAAAGACUGACGCUCAGGUGCGAAAGCGUGGGGAGCAAACAGGAUUAGAUACCCUGGUAGUCCACGCUGUAAACGAUGUCGAUUUGGAGGUUGUGCCCUUGAGGCGUGGCUUCCGGAGCUAACGCGUUAAAUCGACCGCCUGGGGAGUACGGCCGCAAGGUUAAAACUCAAAUGAAUUGACGGGGGCCCGCACAAGCGGUGGAGCAUGUGGUUUAAUUCGAUGCAACGCGAAGAACCUUACCUGGUCUUGACAUCCACAGAACUUUCCAGAGAUGGAUUGGUGCCUUCGGGAACUGUGAGACAGGUGCUGCAUGGCUGUCGUCAGCUCGUGUUGUGAAAUGUUGGGUUAAGUCCCGCAACGAGCGCAACCCUUAUCCUUUGUUGCCAGCGGUCCGGCCGGGAACUCAAAGGAGACUGCCAGUGAUAAACUGGAGGAAGGUGGGGAUGACGUCAAGUCAUCAUGGCCCUUACGACCAGGGCUACACACGUGCUACAAUGGCAUAUACAAAGAGAAGCGACCUCGCGAGAGCAAGCGGACCUCAUAAAGUAUGUCGUAGUCCGGAUUGGAGUCUGCAACUCGACUCCAUGAAGUCGGAAUCGCUAGUAAUCGUAGAUCAGAAUGCUACGGUGAAUACGUUCCCGGGCCUUGUACACACCGCCCGUCACACCAUGGGAGUGGGUUGCAAAAGAAGUAGGUAGCUUAACCUUCGGGAGGGCGCUUACCACUUUGUGAUUCAUGACUGGGGUGAAGUCGUAACAAGGUAACCGUAGGGGAACCUGCGGUUGGAUCACCUCCUUA
rnacentral:rRNA from 1 species